AAAUAGUUUGCCAUUUGGAAUUUGUGAAUAGAUAUAGAAUUUAAAAUUCAUGAAACUUCUAUUUAAUAAUUUUACUUCACAACAGAAAUUGGCGGGAAUGUAACCUAACCUUAUUGGGUAGACGGUCGUCAUGGGCAACCCAUUCAAGUAUGCGACCCGUGUUUGAAUGAAUGUGUAGAUGAUUGUAAAAGCACUAAGCAAUGCAAUGUGUUCUUGUUGAAAAGUUGUUAUCUCAUUGGUUGAACAUUGAGAAUGAGUUAUAAAAAAUAAACAAUGAU
rnacentral:misc_RNA from 1 species